CCUCUCCCGGCCGCCGUCGCCUCCGACAUAUUGCCCGCAGGAGCUGCGGCGGCGAAGCGGAGAGCACCGGGGGAGGAGAUGGGAGGACGAAGAGGUCCCAACAGGACAUCUUACUGUCGAAAUCCGCUCUGUGAGCCGGGAUCCUCGGGGGGCUCUAGUGGAAGCCACACUUCCAGUGCAUCGGUGACCAGUGUUCGUUCCCGCACCAGGAGCAGUUCUGGAACAGGCCUCUCCAGCCCUCCUCUGGCCACCCAAACUGUUGUGCCUCUACAGCACUGCAAGAUCCCCGAGCUGCCAGUCCAGGCCAGCAUUCUGUUUGAGUUGCAGCUCUUCUUCUGCCAGCUCAUAGCACUCUUCGUCCACUACAUCAACAUCUACAAGACAGUGUGGUGGUAUCCACCUUCCCACCCACCCUCCCACACCUCCCUGGGACUGUCCCACUUCCCUUCUCGGGGUCCUGUCCUACUCCUCUAGGUAAUUUCCUGGCCUGACUCAGCUGGAGGCCGAUGAAGAACUUCCAUCUGAUCGACUUCAACUUGCUGAUGGUGACCACCAUCGUUCUGGGCCGCCGCUUCAUUGGGUCCAUCGUGAAGGAGGCCUCUCAGAGGGGGAAGGUCUCCCUCUUUCGCUCCAUCCUGCUGUUCCUCACUCGCUUCACCGUUCUCACGGCAACAGGCUGGAGUCUGUGCCGAUCCCUCAUCCACCUCUUCAGGACCUACUCCUUCCUGAACCUCCUGUUCCUCUGCUAUCCGUUUGGGAUGUACAUUCCUUUCCUGCAGCUGAAUUGCGACCUCCGCAAGACAAGCCUCUUCAACCACAUGGCCUCCAUGGGGCCCCGGGAGGCGGUCAGUGGCCUGGCAAAGAGCCGGGACUACCUCCUGACACUGCGGGAGACGUGGAAGCAGCACACAAGACAGCUGUAUGGCCCGGACGCCAUGCCCACCCAUGCCUGCUGCCUGUCGCCCAGCCUCAUCCGCAGUGAGGUGGAGUUCCUCAAGAUGGACUUCAACUGGCGCAUGAAGGAAGUGCUCGUCAGCUCCAUGCUGAGCGCCUACUAUGUGGCCUUUGUGCCUGUCUGGUUCGUGAAGAACACACAUUACUAUGACAAGCGCUGGUCCUGUGAACUCUUCCUGCUGGUGUCCAUCAGCACCUCCGUGAUCCUCAUGCAGCACCUGCUGCCUGCCAGCUACUGUGACCUGCUGCACAAGGCCGCCGCCCAUCUGGGCUGUUGGCAGAAGGUGGACCCAGCGCUGUGCUCCAACGUGCUGCAGCACCCGUGGACUGAAGAAUGCAUGUGGCCGCAGGGCGUGCUGGUGAAGCACAGCAAGAACGUCUACAAAGCCGUAGGCCACUACAACGUGGCUAUCCCCUCUGACGUCUCCCACUUCCGCUUCCAUUUCUUUUUCAGCAAACCCCUGCGGAUCCUCAACAUCCUCCUGCUGCUGGAGGGCGCUGUCAUUGUCUAUCAGCUGUACUCCCUAAUGUCCUCUGAAAAGUGGCACCAGACCAUCUCGCUGGCCCUCAUCCUCUUCAGCAACUACUAUGCCUUCUUCAAGCUGCUCCGGGACCGCUUGGUAUUGGGCAAGGCCUACUCAUACUCUGCUAGCCCCCAGAGAGACCUGGACCACCGUUUCUCCUGAGCCCUGGGGUCACCUCAGGGACAGCGUCCAGGCUUCAGCCAAGGGCUCCCUGGCAAGGGGCUGUUGGGUAGGAGUGGUGGGGGGGGGGACAAAAGACAAAAAAAUCCACCAGAGCUUUGUAUUUUUGUUACGUACUGUUUCUUUGAUAAUUGAUGUGAUAAGGAAAAAAGUCCUAUUUUUAUACUCCCAACAA
rnacentral:sRNA from 1 species